UACAGAGGGUGCAAGCGUUGUUCGGAAUUACUGGGCGUAAAGGGCUCGUAGGCGGCCAACUAAGUCGGACGUGAAAUCCCCAGGCUCAACCUGGGAACUGCGUCCGAUACUGGAUGGCUUGAAUUCGGGAGAGGGAUGCAGAAUUCCAGGUGUAGCGGUGAAAUGCGUAGAUAUCUGGAGGAAUACCGGUGGCGAAGGCGGCAUCCUGGACCGACGAUUGACGCUGAGGAGCGAAAGCUAGGGGAGCAACGGG
rnacentral:rRNA from 1 species